rnacentral:lncRNA from 1 species
ACGUUUACCUGCGCCGUGACCCCGAACAAGCAUUCAUUUGUAUGCCGCCCAGCUCGUGGGGACACAUUUCCCCCUUCCCUUGCACACGCCACCUUCUCCCCGCCACCAAAGCCCCCUUGCAUCAUUCUCUUUUUUCCAAUUUCCUUACUCCAUGGGCGCUCAUCCCCAUCGCCUGGCAUCCCUUCCCUGCACCGCGCCUACCGCUACUCGUUGCUCUUCUCAACCCACAUAUCCCCUUUUCGCAGGCCCCAACGGACGCAUCGCCUUCCUUAAACCCCUCCAAAACCAUUACCACCGUAAACACCACCCAAGUCGACGGCCCUUCGGUGUCCUACAUGCUAUCCACCACCGUUGCACCCACCGCCAUGCCGUCCACAACAGCAACAUCACUCAUCAGCAGCACCAAUAUGUCCGCCGCAGCACCUGGCGCCGCCGCCGUAGCAGCAGCUACAGCCACAGCCGCCGCAGCAGCAACCGGCACUAGCAGCACCGGCGGGCUGGCGAUGCAGCCGCGCCAUCUCCAUUCGCACCGCCAGAAGCCCGAAGUCCUUGCGCCAGUGGGCGGCUGGCCGCAAUUACACGCAGCGGUGGAAAACGGCGCGGAUGCGGUGUACUUUGGGCUGGAGGACUUCAACGCACGUGCGCGGUAGGAGAUGUCACCUUCGGGGGAGAACCAGCGGGAACGAUAGGGGGUCGAGAGGAGGGAAAAGGGCAAGAAGAAGAUGAAAAAGGGCCUCGAAGACAUGGCGCAGACGAGGAAAGCACCCUGAUGUGGAUCACUGAUGUGUAAGGUUUACACCUUCACGGGCUGGAACCCCAAUUCACCCCCCUGCGGUGGUGAAACGUUGUCUAAGCAGGUCCUUGAAUGCUGUAGCUGGGGCUGGAAGAAAGUCCAGGGGUAGAGACCAACGGGAUGCGGCAUCAAACCACCGGGCCGACCGGAACUAUGGAAAAUUUCUGUCAACUUAGGGUUGUUGUAUGAUUAUUAAAAUAGUUAUUAAAACCACACGCUACGCGUUUUUCGGCUUGCCCAAAUAGGAAUUGUCUUAGUCUGUAAUGGGUGCGCUUGAGGGUGCUGCAGCAUUGGAGUUUUGAUGAAUUGUAUUAGUACGGUGAGUCGAAUGAGGUGCGAUUACCUGUGGAAAGCUUACAAGGAACAAAGCUGAUUGAUGGAUUGUGCUCUCGUCCUUUGUUCUCUCCUUCCAUACCCUCUGUUGUUUCUAUCUUUUCGAUCUUUUCCUUCCCUGAAUGCGGAAUCCCUUUCCCCCACUUCCCCCUCACUCUCCUUUGGUCCCUUUGUCCCUCCGCUCUCUCGCGUCCCUUUUCCCAAACACCUUUGCCCUCUCCCUCCCGUUCUCUUCCUACUCGCAUUCCUUCCAUCCUCUCCCUUCUAUCUUUUAUGUCAAUUACAUCCCUCGUGUCCUUGUGGACGAUUUGUACAUUAACGUUGCAGAUGUGCUUCCUAUUAUGAACGAUUAACUCCUUACACUUCUCCACCUGCAGUAUUCGAGUACAAGGUUCUAUGUUUGAUAUGACGUUUUGGCCGAUGUUCUGCGCUUGCUGCUUCACGUUGUCAUGUUUUCUGGUUUCUGGGAUGUGUGGGGGAGAUUCUGAGCUUUGUUGUCGGAAAAGGCAAACACGGCAAUACAAGCAACAUGAACGUGCUCUUCACCCUCAUGUCUUCCCUUUCCUCUCCCUCCCCUUUCUUCUCUCCCUCCUUUCCCUCCUCUCUUUCUGCACCUUGCUUACCCUGAAGGCGUCUCCUCUCCUCUUCCUAUACUCUCUCCUCCUCUUCCUAUACUCUCUCCUCCUCUUCCUAUACUCUCUCCUCCUCUUCCUAUACUCUCUCCUCCUCUUCCUAUAUUCUCUCCUCCUCUUCCUCGCCUUACCGUGAAUACUUUGCUCAUUAAUUUUGCGGACGCACAGCCCGGUUUUAAUGCGCAACUCCUCUUCCUGCAGUUCUCGAACAAAACGUGCAUUAUUGCUAGUUCUUUUUUAUUAUUUCUUCUUUUACUUGACGCUUGCCUUUGCCAUUUUUUCGGGUGUCACAUCCCGUAUGCCUGCGUCAUGAGAACUUUUGUAGCCGCCAUAUGCUCGGCCACUCCUUUACACUGCACAUCUUUCGGACUUCUGCGCUCUUCAUUU